UACGUAGGCAGCGAGCGUUGUUCGGAGUUACUGGGCGUAAAGGGUGUGUAGGCGGUUCUUUAAGUUUGGUGUGAAAUCUCCCGGCUCAACCGGGAGGGUGCGCCGAAUACUGAGGGACUAGAGUAUGGGAUGGGAAAGUGGAAUUCCUGGUGUAGCGGUGAAAUGCGUAGAUAUCAGGAGGAACACCGGUGGUGUAGACGGCUCUCUGGACCGUAACUGACGCUGAGGCACGAAAGCGUGGUAGCAAACAGG
rnacentral:rRNA from 1 species